rnacentral:rRNA from 1 species
UACGUAGGGUGCAAGCGUUAAUCGGAAUUACUGGGCGUAAAGCGUGCGCAGGCGGUUGUGCAAGACAGAGGUGAAAUCCCCGGGCUUAACCUGGGAACUGCCUUUGUGACUGCACGGCUAGAGUGUGUCAGAGGGGGGUAGAAUUCCACGUGUAGCAGUGAAAUGCGUAGAUAUGUGGAGGAAUACCGAUGGCGAAGGCAGCCCCCUGGGAUAACACUGACGCUCAUGCACGAAAGCGUGGGGGAGCAAACAGG